GCCAGGCAUGGUGGUGUCUACCCGUAGUCCCCGCUACUCAGGAGGCCAAGGCAGGAGAAAAACUUGAGCCCAGGAGUCUGAGGCCAGCCUGGGCAACAUAGUGAGACUCAAU
rnacentral:sRNA from 1 species